rnacentral:rRNA from 1 species
GUAAACGUUGGCGGCGUGCCUAACACAUGCAAGUCGUACGAUCCUUAAGUGGCUUGCCAUUUAAGGAGAGUGGCGAACGGGUGAGUAACACGUGAGUAAUCUGCCCCUAAGUGAGGAAUAACUCCGCGAAAGCGGGGCUAAUACUGCAUAAAACUCUGAAGCACAUGCUUUCAGAGUCAAAGCCCCUCGGGGCGCUUGGGGAUGAGCUCGCGGCCUAUUAGCUAGUUGGUGGGGUAAUGGCCUACCAAGGUAAUGAUGGGUAGCCGGCCUGAGAGGGUGUACGGCCACACUGGAACUGCGACACGGUCCAGACUCCUACGGGAGGCAGCAGUGGGGAAUUUUGCGCAAUGGGCGAAAGCCUGACGCAGCGACGCCGCGUGGAGGAUUAAGGCCUUCGGGUUGUAAACUCCUGUCAGAGGUGAAGAAUGCCCUUUAGGGGGGUUUGACGGUAACCUCAGAGGAAGCCCCGGCUAACUACGUG